GAUGAAGAACGCAGCGAAAUGCGAUAAGUAAUGUGAAUUGCAGAAUUCAGUGAAUCAUCGAAUCUUUGAACGCACAUUGCGCCCGCCAGUAUUCUGGCGUGCAUGCCUGUUCGAGCGUCAUUACAACCCUCAGGCCCCCGGGCCUGGCGUUGGGGAUCGGCGGAAGCCCCCUGCGGGCACAACGCCGUCCCCCAAAUACAGUGGCGGUCCCGCCGCAGCUUCCAUUGCGUAGUAGCUAACACCUCGCAACUGGAGAGCGGCGCGGCCACGCCGUAAAACACCCAACUUCUGAAUGUUGACCUCGAAUCAGGUAGGAAUACCCGCUGAACUUAAGCAUAUCAAUAAGCGGAGGA
rnacentral:misc_RNA from 1 species